ensembl:lncRNA
CAAAUCUCAACUAGGCUUUUCCUUGUUAUCACUAUGUAUCCCUUGUAUCUAUAUAACAGCUGAAAUUUCUUAUUCUUUCUCUACUUCAUUUACCAUCUUUCAAAAAGUGCCUGGCAGGACUAAUUUGACCAGCAGGAUAAUUAGCCCUGAAAAGGCUCUCAUACAGCGGAAUAACCAUAAGGAUGAAACCACUGUGCUUGACCUUGGGCCUUUUGGCUUUUGUAACAUGUUUCUCGUCUGGAGAGAGUUACAGAGACCCCAGCCUGCCAGGGCCUAGACCACUGCCACCUGCUCGACUUCCUCCACGACGCAUUCCUUCUGUCCCAGGAUUUGUUCAACACCCUUCUCUACCCUCUGGUCCAGGAAGAAUUCCACCACGCCGUCCUUUCUUCCCAGGUUAUCCAAAUCCACCAAGACCUUAUCCAUAUAGACCUCAACAGCUCUUUCCAUAUCCUCCAUUUUAUCCUCCCUUCUUUCCACCUCUACCCCCAAUACCACCAAUUACAACAGACUCCCCUACUGCCUCCGUUACCGACAGAACAAACUCCAUUACAGAUACAACAGUCCCCGACAUUGACACAACAGUCCCCGACGUUGACACAACAGUCCUCGACGUUGACACAACAGUCCCCAACACCGACACAACAGUCCCCGGCAUCGACAUAACAGUCCCCGGCGUCGACACAACAGUCCCCAACACCGGCACAACAGUCCCCGGCAUCGACAUAACAGUCCCCGGCGUCGACACAGCAGUCCCCGAUGCUGACACAGUAGACUCCAUUAUAACAACAGUCCCCAUAACAAACAAUAUAGACUCCACUACAAACACAGAAGAACCCACCACCAAAUUCAUCAACCCCACAACUACAUCAUCCAAUACCCAAAAUUCUUUUAAGAGAUUUUUAGAAAAACUUCUUUUCUUUUUUGGAUAUGGAAGAGAUAGCCCAUGAGCUCUGAGUUUUGGGGAGAAAUAAUCUUAGAAAUUGUAAAAGAAAGCACAAGUUAUGAAAACAGUAUGCCAACAAAGUGAAAAUAAAGAAUUGAGCAAUGAUACUAAGCCUCCAGUGUCCUCAGGAGAGCCAUCAGUUUGUCCGUGUUUAUGCCACCCAUUUGAAAAUUAGUGCUACCAGAAACCUGCCCUUGUACUAUGAAACCAAGAAGGGAAUUAGGAAAAAUACAAUGAGAUACCUAGACUCAGAGCUUAGAGUGAUAAAGUUGGAAAAAUAGGCAACAGGAUCCUUUCUUGGGUACCUCAACCCAUCAUAUAAUUACAAAACACAAAAUAACAUGUUAAAAGAUGCUAAAAUAAUCUUAGCACUUGCAGCUUUUUACAUGAUC